rnacentral:misc_RNA from 1 species
AAGUCGUAACAAGGUUUCCGUAGGUGAACCUGCGGAAGGAUCAUUACCAAAAAAAUUGAAAAUGUUUCUCUUUUUUUUUUAUCCAACCCAUCCAACCUGUGAACCAAACAUUUAAACGGUCUUGAACAUAUUUUCAUGUGUGCAAGAUCCCAAACCCAUUUCAUUUCACGCUUAUGUUUUUUUUAUAUAACUUUUAUACAGUUGUUUUAUUGAAUACUCAAUAAUAUAUAUACACAACUUUCAGCAACGGAUCUCUAGGCUCUU